rnacentral:rRNA from 1 species
CGAGCGAACUGAUUAGAAGCUUGCUUCUAUGACGUUAGCGGCGGACGGGUGAGUAACACGUGGGCAACCUGCCUGUAAGACUGGGAUAACUUCGGGAAACCGAAGCUAAUACCGGAUAGGAUCUUCUCCUUCAUGGGAGAUGAUUGAAAGAUGGUUUCGGCUAUCACUUACAGAUGGGCCCGCGGUGCAUUAGCUAGUUGGUGAGGUAACGGCUCACCAAGGCAACGAUGCAUAGCCGACCUGAGAGGGUGAUCGGCCACACUGGGACUGAGACACGGCCCAGACUCCUACGGGAGGCAGCAGUAGGGAAUCUUCCGCAAUGGACGAAAGUCUGACGGAGCAACGCCGCGUGAGUGAUGAAGGCUUUCGGGUCGUAAAACUCUGUUGUUAGGGAAGAACAAGUACGAGAGUAACUGCUUGUACCUUGACGGUACCUAACCAGAAAGCCACGGCUAACUACGUGCCAGCAGCCGCGGUAAUACGUAGGUGGCAAGCGUUAUCCGGAAUUAUUGGGCGUAAAGCGCGCGCAGGCGGUUUCUUAAGUCUGAUGUGAAAGCCCACGGCUCAACCGUGGAGGGUCAUUGGAAACUGGGGAACUUGAGUGCAGAAGAGAAAAGCGGAAUUCCACGUGUAGCGGUGAAAUGCGUAGAGAUGUGGAGGAACACCAGUGGCGAAGGCGGCUUUUUGGUCUGUAACUGACG